GGAGAGAUUCCCGUAGCGGCCUAACGGGGCCCGGACUUGUUCCGGCCGGGGCUCUUGCCCCUCGCAGGUUCGAAUCCUGCUCUCUCCG
rnacentral:tRNA from 3 species